GUAUGGAAUCUUCCGGUUCAAGCUCCUCAAUACACUUCAGGUCGAGUAAAGAUUAAAAAUGGUGCUGAAAGCUUAGAAGCUGGGUGGACGGUGAAUCCGGGUUUAUAUGGUGGUGAUAAUAGAACCAGAAUGUAUAUUUAUACCAAUGCUGGUCAAGCACAUUGUUUCAACACACCAUGUGGAUUUAUACAAUCUUCAAUAGAUAUACCUGUG